UGAACGCUGGCGGCGUGCCUAAUACAUGCAAGUCGAGCGAACAGACGAGGAGCUUGCUCCUCUGACGUUAGCGGCGGACGGGUGAGUAACACGUGGAUAACCUACCUAUAAGACUGGGAUAACUUCGGGAAACCGGAGCUAAUACCGGAUAAUAUAUUGAACCGCAUGGUUCAAUAGUGAAAGACGGUUUUGCUGUCACUUAUAGAUGGAUCCGCGCCGCAUUAGCUAGUUGGUAAGGUAACGGCUGACCAAGGCAACGAUGCGUAGCCGACCUGAGAGGGUGAUCGGCCACACUGGAACUGAGACACGGUCCAGACUCCUACGGGAGGCAGCAGUAGGGAAUCUUCCGCAAUGGGCGAAAGCCUGACGGAGCAACGCCGCGUGAGUGAUGAAGGUCUUCGGAUCGUAAAACUCUGUUAUUAGGGAAGAACAAAUGUGUAAGUAACUAUGCACGUCUUGACGGUACCUAAUCAGAAAGCCACGGCUAACUACGUG
rnacentral:rRNA from 1 species